rnacentral:rRNA from 1 species
AGGUGGCGACCGGCGCACGGGUGAGUAACACGUAUCCAACCUGCCGAUAACUCGGGGAUAGCCUUUCGAAAGAAAGAUUAAUACCCGAUGACAUAAUUAGACCGCAUGGUCUUAUUAUUAAAGAAUUUCGGUUAUCGAUGGGGAUGCGUUCCAUUAGGCAGUUGGUGAGGUAACGGCUCACCAAACCUUCGAUGGAUAGGGGUUCUGAGAGGAAGGUCCCCCACAUUGGAACUGAGACACGGUCCAA